rnacentral:rRNA from 1 species
GACGACGCUGGGCGGCGUGGAUUAGGCAUGCAAGUCGAACGGUAUCAUCCUUUCGGGGGUGAGAGAGUGGCGAACUGGUGAGUAACACGUAGGUUAUCUACCCUCAAGACGGGGACAACCCGGGAAACUUGGGCUAAUACCGGAUGUGAGCAACUUUUAGUGUUUGAAAGGUGGCGUAAGCUGUCGCUUGGGGAUGAGCCUGCGUCCUAUUAGUUAGUUGGUGAGGUAACGGCUCACCUAGGCAAUGAUAGGUAGGCGGCCUUAACGGGUGGUCGCCCACACUGGGAUUGAGAUACGGCCCAGACUCCUACGGGAGGCAGCAGUCGAGAAUAGUCUACAAUGGUCGGAAGACUGAUAGUGCGACGCCGCGUGAACGAUGAAUCCCUUCGGGGUGUAAAGUUCUUUUAUAUGUGAGCAGUGCUUCUUAUAUUAACAGUAUGGGGAGAGAGAUAUUAGCAUAUGAAUAAGCAACGGCUAACUCCGUG